AAGCUCGCUUUCCCUAAAAAAACGCACAAGAGCUCGAUGCACGUAGCCUAGCCGCCUGUGGAAGUUAGACGAGGGCAUCCGUACAGCAGAUUAGCGCCGCCGCUGUCGCCCAUGGCGGAGUAAUCUUACAGAGCUGAAAGGGAAACGGCAAGGCUGAAGUCAGGGGCUACAUCUCCCUCCUUUCUUUGAUUUUCUGCAAGAUCAGAGAUGGACAAAAAAACAAAGAUGUUAAUUUGUGCGGCGGCAGCACAAUGGUUUAUCAAUAUGAUAGCUUUAGUUGUCCAAUCUAGAAAAAGAAAAAGGAGAGAGGCAAUUACAUAUGCCCCAAUUGAUGAGAGAGAUAGGAUGAGAAGAGAGUACUUUGAUAACAAAGGAUGGAAGAAUGACACAACUUGUGUGAACAUCCUUAGGCUUCGGAGAGCUCCUUUCUUUCGGUUUUGUCAACUAUUUAGAGAUCGCAAUUUGCUAAAGGACACAAUCCAUAUGUCCAUUGAGCAGCAAGUAGCAAUGUUUUUGCACACUGUUGGUCACAAUGUUCGGAAUAGAGUAAUUGGUGGGAAUUUUGGUAGAUCUGGUGAAGUUGUUAGCCGCUAUUUUAAAAAAGUACUCCAUGCAAUUGGUGAGCUUCGAGAUGAACUUAUUAGGAAGCCUUCAUUGGGGACCCAAAAGAAAAUAGAAGGAAACCAUCGGUGGGAUCCAUACUUUAAGGAUUGUAUUGGAGCUAUUGAUGGUACACAUGUACGUGCCUCUGUUACACCUGAUACGGAGGCUGCCUUUGAUGGUAGAAAGAAAUAUACUACUCAAAAUGUGAUGGCGGCUGUUGAUUUUGACCUUCGAUUCACAUAUGUGUUGGCCGGUUGGGAGGGGACAGCACAUGAUGCUGUAGUUUUACGCGAUGCUUUAGGACGUGAAAAUGGUCUACGUGUCCCACAAGGUAAUAGAUUAACCAUGUAGAUACAUGUUGUCAAUGGGAUUUUGAUAUAUAUGUAAGUAACCCAAAUGCUCCUCGUAUUUAGGAAAAUUUUAUCUAGUUGAUGCCGGAUAUGGAGCCAAACCAGGCUUCUUGCCUCCUUUUCGUGGCGUGAGGUUUUAAAUGAUGGCAUUGAUGAAUAUAUCAUACCCUAGGAUGAAUGGGUGGCCAAUAUCACUCAUGCUUCAUCAUCAACUGGCCAAGCACAAGAACAUGCAUACAUGGCUAAUUUUAGGCAAGGACUUGCUGAUCAAAUGUGGGAAGACCGACAAAACUAUUUGCAGUAUCAAAACAUG